rnacentral:rRNA from 1 species
UACGUAGGGUGCUAGCGUUGUCCGGAAUCAUUGGGCGUAAAGAGCGCGUAGGCGGCCAGAUAAGUCCGGUGUGAAAGUCACAGGCUCAACCUGUGAAUGCCGCUGGAAACUGUCUGGCUAGAGUCCGGAAGGGGCGAGUGGAAUUCCUGGUGUAGCGGUGAAAUGCGCAGAUAUCAGGAGGAACACCAAUGGCGAAGGCGGCAUCCUGGCCCGGACCUGACGCUGAGGCGCGAGAGCGUGGGGAGCAAACGGG